GUUGUUUGGUUACCGACCUUGAAGCAUGGCAGAGGAGAGAACUGUGAAGUCGGUAACGUUAUCGGGGCCGACGUGAAGCACACUGCCAAUGGGGAAACGGGUGUUGACCAUCUGAUGCCUCUCACUCCUGGUUGGAUUUGCUGGUGCCAGUGGUCUGGAGUGUCCUGCUGUCGUGAAGACCGAGUGUAGGUAUGCCAAAAUAACCCCUCUCCCCUGAGGGUUUUAUGUAGACAUAUCAAAUAUCUAAUGUAUAGCCCACUGUCUCGUCUAGUCCCACUGCAUUUAGCAGAAUUGUCAAUAGUGUUAAACUGAAUGGAACUUUAAAGGGGAGAUCCGACUAGUCAAUAAAUUUUUCCUAGCUUGAGUUGCUGCAGGCAGGCUGUACUCUGGCAUGUACAAUGGGAGCUCAUUGACAUGCCCUCAGAGUGUAUAGCUGUGGC